ensembl:lncRNA
CUCUUGAGCUGUGAAAGCAAAUUGGACAGGCACGAACAUUAGCGCUUUUGACAACAUUUGAAGCACAUUUUCAAUGCUCUGCUGCCUAUCUCCCCUAGCCUUUUCUGCACCAUACUGUGGCAUCAACACUGUAGGCUUCCGGGCGCAGGGAAACACACCUUUGAACUGAGAGCGCACGCAGGGCUACAGAGACAAUUUAAAGCUGUGGUUCUAGCCUACAGUUUGAUUUAUAGCCUUGGCCACUAUUAUAUAACAUAUCUCCAGUUUUAACCCGCCUCCAUAUGUGACAGUUAUUUUUUUGUCUCAGUGCCACUAAACACAUUGACUUCUCCUCCCUUCUGUCCCUUCCUUGCCUUUUGUAUUUUUCUCUUGCUUGUUGGUUUUGUCUGUGAAGCCGCCGGAUGACCAGAGCACGGAUUUCACCUCGUCCUUGAGAUAAGACAGGAGAUAUAAGAAUAGAGAGAGCGCGACACACACACAUUACCCCUACACACAGCGACCGAUCCGACAUCGAAACACGGGGAAGACGCAAUCACCGAGACCCGGGUGAAGCCUCUCUCUGAUGGGUAUCCAGUCCACCCAGUCAUCUCUUCAGGGACAUUAGUAGUGUAUCGAGUGCAUCAGACACUCACACCUGCAUGUGGCCUCGAGAACAGCCGUGGCGUCGCCUCGUAAGUGAGAUGAGGAACUUCUGACACCAAUAACCCAGAGUCUGUUAGCACUGCUGGACCACAUGGCUUAUAGGGAUGG